GACGAACGCUGGCGGCGUGCUUAACACAUGCAAGUCGAACGGAAAGGCCCUGCUUGCAGGGUACUCGAGUGGCGAACGGGUGAGUAACACGUGGGUGAUCUGCCCUGCACUUCGGGAUAAGCCUGGGAAACUGGGUCUAAUACCGGAUAGGAGCCAUUUUUAGUGUGAUGGUUGGAAAGUUUUUUCGGUGUAGGAUGAGCUCGCGGCCUAUCAGCUUGUUGGUGGGGUAAUGGCCCACCAAGGCGGCGACGGGUAGCCGGCCUGAGAGGGUGGACGGCCACAUUGGGACUGAGAUACGGCCCAGACUCCUACGGGAGGCAGCAGUGGGGAAUAUUGCACAAUGGGCGCAAGCCUGAUGCAGCGACGCCGCGUGGGGGAUGACGGCCUUCGGGUUGUAAACUCCUUUCGCUAGGGACGAAGCUUUUUGUGACGGUACCUAGAUAAGAAGCACCGGCUAACUACGUG
rnacentral:rRNA from 1 species